rnacentral:tRNA from 1 species
GCCUUCGUAGUGUAGAGGUCAGCACACUCGACGCGUAUUCGAGAGGUCCUUAGUUCGAGUCCCGGCGAGGGCA